rnacentral:rRNA from 1 species
UACGUAGGGUGCAAGCGCUAAUCGGAAUUACUGGGCGUAAAGCGUGCGCAGGCGGUUUUGUAAGUCUGACGUGAAAUCCCCGGGCUCAACCUGGGAAUUGCGUUGGAGACUGCCAGGCUUGAAUCUGGCAGAGGGGGGUAGAAUUCCACGUGUAGCAGUGAAAUGCGUAGAGAUGUGGAGGAACACCGAUGGCGAAGGCAGCCCCCUGGGUCAAGAUUGACGCUCAUGCACGAAAGCGUGGGGAGCAAACAGG